AACAAAUGCCCUGCUUCCAGGAAAAGCCUCUAAGCAUCAGGUAACAUCAAAUCGUACCCCAAACCGACACAGGUGGUCAGGUAGAGAAUACCAAGGCGCUUGAGAGAACUCGGGUGAAGGAACUAGGCAAAAUGGUGCCGUAACUUCGGGAGAAGGCACGCUGAUAUGUAGGUGAAGUCCCUCGCGGAUGGAGCUGAAAUCAGUCGAAGAUACCAGCUGGCUGCAACUGUUUAUUAAAAACACAGCACUGUGCAAACACGAAAGUGGACGUAUACGGUGUGACGCCUGCCCGGUGCCGGAAGGUUAAUUGAUGGGGUUAGCCGCAAGGCGAAGCUCUUGAUCGAAGCCCCGGUAAACGGCGGCCGUAACUAUAACGGUCCUAAGGUAGCGAAAUUCCUUGUCGGGUAAGUUCCGACCUGCACGAAUGGCGUAAUGAUGGCCAGGCUGUCUCCACCCGAGACUCAGUGAAAUUGAACUCGCUGUGAGGAUGCAGUGUACCCGCGGCAAGACGGAAAGACCCCGUGAACCUUUACUAUAGCUUGACACUGAACAUUGAGCCUUGAUGUGUAGGAUAGGUGGGAGGCUUUGAAGUGUGGACGCCAGUCUGCAUGGAGCCGACCUUGAAAUACCACCCUUUAAUGUUUGAUGUUCUAACGUUGACCCGUAAUCCGGGUUGCGGACAGUGUCUGGUGGGUAGUUUGACUGGGGCGGUCUCCUCCUAAAGAGUAACGGAGGAGCACGAAGGUUGGCUAAUCCUGGUCGGACAUCAGGAGGUUAGUGCAAUGGCAUAAGCCAGCUUGACUGCGAGCGUGACGGCGCGAGCAGGUGCGAAAGCAGGUCAUAGUGAUCCGGUGGUUCUGAAUGGAAGGGCCAUCGCUCAACGGAUAAAAGGUACUCCGGGGAUAACAGGCUGAUACCGCCCAAGAGUUCAUAUCGACGGCGGUGUUUGGCACCUCGAUGUCGGCUCAUCACAUCCUGGGGCUGAAGUAGGUCCCAAGGGUAUGGCUGUUCGCCAUUUAAAGUGGUACGCGAGCUGGGUUUAGAACGUCGUGAGACAGUUCGGUCCCUAUCUGCCGUGGGCGCUGGAGAACUGAGGGGGGCUGCUCCUAGUACGAGAGGACCGGAGUGGACGCAUCACUGGUGUUCGGGUUGUCAUGCCAAUGGCACUGCCCGGUAGCUAAAUGCGGAAGAGAUAAGUGCUGAAAGCAUCUAAGCACGAAACUUGCCCCGAGAUGAGUUCUCCCUGACUCCUUGAGAGUCCUGAAGGAACGUUGAAGACGACGACGUUGAUAGGCCGGGUGUGUAAGCGCAGCGAUGCGUUGAGCUAACCGGUACUAAUGAACCGUGAGGCUUAACCUU
rnacentral:rRNA from 1 species